AUGUUUUUGUCUUCUCUCAAUAGGAUGAAAAGGCAGCGAUUGACCCUAAAUUCAAGACAUUUUUUGCACCCCUAUGAUCAUGACCCAAAGACUCAGGCAGAAAUUCUGACAACAGCAGAUUCUUGUCUGCAAGAAGCAAUGAGAGGUCUCUGCUGUCGGCUACUCUUAUAUUCAAUUGCAUGGACCAGGACCAAGGAGGUAUGCGCUGAGAUAGGGGGUUCAUGAGGAAGUCUGUGUAGGUUUCCAGAUACCUUCUUGUGCUAAGUAACCAUCUCGAUGACCUUGGGCAAAUCCUGAAGUCCUGGUGACAUUUCUGAACAUCAGUGUUCUCAUCUGUGAAAUAAAAAUAAGGAUUGAAUGUGAUAAUCUAAACAUCAUUAGGAUGGGGAUUUUUCCUUGCUUUUACUGAUUCCCACUGCUCAGAAAAAUAGGCAUUCCAUAAACACUCACUGAAUGAUUUGAUGAUCCAUAAGAUGUGUAAGGUUGUCCAGUGUAAAAUACAUAUUUAAUAGUUAUUUUAGCAAUUAGUAUCGUGACUGCCUCUUCCCACCUCUCAUGCUCAAGUAUCUCACCAUGUGCCUACAUAUUUUGUAGAUGACCAUAAAAGAAACACAAUUGGUCUGCUUCCUUAUACUUAGAAGACUCGGCCCACCCCAGAGAAGGUAUCACUGGAUGAAAUAUUGUUGUAACCAAUAUUUCACAGUUUUGCUAGUGGUUUCCAAAGAUUGUUAGUGAGAGCUCUGUGGGAGGAAAACAUAACAAGUGUCAAGUCCAAAAAUGUUGGGAAAUGUUGCCUUUAAUGGGUUUCUUCCCUCUUAGGCUUUUCUAAGAUUUUAUUAUUCAUAUGGGGAUCGUGAUUCUCCAGGAGGGAAAGAAUAGUUUCCCAACCCAACUUGACCAGAGGAUCCUUUCCUUAUAAAUAUCCCAUUGUACUCAGAUAACUCCUUGUGAAAUGUAGAUUUAAUCAUUAGCUAGAAGAGGAUACACAGAGCAAAAGGAUUUAUUUUUAUAGGGCAGUAAAAUGCUUUUUUAGGUCAGGGAAGACUUAUUUAGAAAUGAGAUGUGGAGUUCACACAACCCAAGACAGUCAUCGAGGAAAUUUCACUCCAAUGAAGCAGUUAGGUGAGUGAAAACAAAUGAACAUAAAAUAAGUAUAUAAUAACACCUUGGGAAAAUUAAACAUCUCUCCAUUUAACAUCUGUCACAUAGAUAAUUGUAGCAACUAGAUUGAUUGUGGAAGAAGAAACUGUAAGUUUAAAAGGGAAGCAGCUGAGUUUGCUUAUAUCACCUGCAAAGGGACUACUUUCUUUGGCAGAUUGAUAUUGCACAAAGGUUUGGGGUUUCAUUAAAGACUUAUGGUUGGAUGGCGUAACAGUAUGUUACAGAAUGUGUGUGUGUGUGUGUGUGUGUGUGUGUGUGUGUGUUGUGUGUGAUCAGACAAUUCAGUGCAUGAGGCUUUCAGAAAAGAGACUGCUAUCAUGCAUUCUGGAUUGUGCUACAUUUUAGAUGACAUUGUCAUGUAACAAUACCAUUUGAUAUCAUGUCCUAUCAGUAACAAUGAUAAUAUAAUCUGCACAUUAGUUACAAAAUGAUAUGCGGAUUGGUAUCAAUUGGUAUUAAUUUUUUCUUGUGCAAUUCUGUAAUAUUUUAAUGUCUAUUGUAAUUUUGAGAAGUACAUGUUUUUGUAUUUUCUGAAAAACCUGAUUAUAUAUCACAGAAGAAUACAAAAACAACAACAAAACAUAAACAAGGCCAAAUAACACAGCCAAAUUCUUAAGUUAAUCUCUGUCAAGGGGCCUUCACACCUGCAAAUAAUAUUCUCUUCUUUACAUGUAAACUUCCUGCUGAAAGCAGGUCAGAGAUAACAGCUGGAUUAACUUGGAGAGGUUUGGUGGGGGUUUUUGUAAGUUUUUAAACAAUUAGUUUUAUGUUCUUUUAAAUAAUUGCUUCAUUAUAUUUUGUACAUCUGUGCAAGGGUCUGAUGAUGACAUUUGGUAAAUUUCCAAAUAGCUGUAAAACUGGGGAACACUAUUAAGCAAUAGUACAAUUCACCUGUAGGUUAGAAAAAAAGGCCUUGUGAAAUAGCUCAAAAGAAAAACGCCUUAAACAAAAGAACCAAUUCUGUUCUGUGAGGAAAUGGUUCUGCUUCAGGUGAAGCUAUCAGAUACAGUAUUCUCUUUAAGAAGAUAGGCUGGCAUCUCAGAGGAGACUAACAAAAAUGAUAAAAGGUUUGGAAAACAAGACCUGGGAGAAAAGGUUAAGAGCGUGGGAACACUCAUUCAAGUUGAAGGAGACUGAGGGGAGACAUAACUGUCUAGCUACAAGUUAAAUCAUGUUACAAUAAGAGACAUUGAUUAUUAUUAGCAGUAGAAGAGGGCAGUUAGAACAAAAGGGCUGUACCCACUCUACUUCAUAUCAGGAACAAUUUUUUAGCACAAUAAACAUUUAUAUGAUGGAGUUAGGUGCUAUAAGCAUCUAAAGCUUAGCUGCUGUUGAACCAAAAGGAAAUCCUUGAGGAUAAUUUGAAGUACUUUGUCAGUCUGUGGCCUGGAAAAUGGGUUGUAACUCAGUUCUUCUGUUAUAAAUAAUCAGAUAAAGCCUUCCUUGCUCCCAUACUUUUGAUUGGGUGAAGAAGGAAAUGUGUAUAAAGAUAUUCACAGAUCCGUAAAUUACUCCUAAGCAAUAACCACCAAAACUCAGAAUCAGGCUGUGACCCUACCCUAGAGACCAAAACCUUGCAUAACUUAUGCAAGAUCCUGUAUUUGACUGAAAGCACUGGAAAAAAAGUAGAUAUUCAAAUCACAAAUGGCUAUUUUCAUUUAAGCAUAAUUAACAAAUACAAGAAUUUUGCAUUCAUUCUUUGAACUACCAGAUAAUGAAACUUUAAAAAUUUGCAGUUAUCAAAAAGAAUAUGGAGUUAUCAUGUGACUCACAGAGUAGUGAAAGAAACAAGAUAAAAGCCAUAAAGGCAUCUUUACUUAUUAUAUACAAUAAUGUAUAUUCUUACAUUAUUAUAGAGAUUUUACAUAUGAUAAGAGAGUGAGAAGGUAAAAUAAAUUUUAUUUUACUAUGUGUGAAGAGGGAAGGAUGAAUAGUUUAAAGAUUGUCUAAAAGAAUUGAUUAAUUAUUUGGAUAAAAAUAAGAUCUGUAGUCACACAUGACACCAAAAGAAAGUCUUGCUUGGUUAAAACAAUGAUUCUCAGCAGCAAAUAAUGAAGGAUAGUAGAAGAGUUUUGUGCCACAAAAUUUUCAAGGUUUUUGUUUUGUUUUGUUUUGUUUUGUUUUCAAAUUAUACAUACUUUUCCCACCCAAUGGAUCUGCUAUACUCACUAAAAGUUACAGUCUUAUCCUCGGUAAAUUAAGAUUAGCAUAAUGUAGUGGUUUUCCCACUCAAUAAUUAAUUAAGUAUUUGUUGAACACUUACUAUUUGAUCAGGUAUAAUGCUAGGCUCUAGGAAUAGACAGAUGAAAGAACAAGAUACAUGUUCUAGAGGACUUUAGGCUGCUAGAGAGAAAAAAGAUAGGAAAAAGAAAAAAGAAAAAGAUACCACAUUCUUAAAAGGUGAACUGGAUACAAUCAUCCCUACAUGUGACUAUUCGUGGACUUUUUAAUUGUGUGAAUAAUAAAUUCCUUGUUGCCUGUUUUUUACAUUUUUAAAAAAGAGAUGUUGCAAGGAGGAGAAGAAAUUAAGGUGUGUCCUAUUCGUAUAUGUACUACCCGCAAUAAGUGUAUUAUAUAAAACAAAAAAUGUAUUAAUGUGAAUAAAAAAUGAAAUAACACAUACUAGAAAUAAAGAGCUAAUAUCUUUGCCUCCUGGAACUUACUUUCUAAGUGACAGAAUGAAUAAAUGAUAAAUCAUAUAGAUUGGUAAAAGUUAUUAAAUACUAUGGAAAAACGUUCAAAAGUAAAGCAGAG
ensembl:lincRNA